rnacentral:lncRNA from 1 species
GAGGAGGAGCUUAUUCGAAAAAUUGUGAAAGAAAAAUAAUGGGGUGCAGGGUUGUGGUGGGAAAAGUGAUGGAGAAAGGUGGCAGGGGAAUGCAAGUGGAUGACAUAUAUUAUCGGAGACAAGAAAGUGGCAAUAGAAAUGCCUUUGCCGGUGAUGAGCAAAACAUGUAACCUUCUCUUUCUAUUAUUAUCCCUUUUCUUUUCUACCAAUUCUAUUUCACUUUCUACCUGCAUUUCUUCAGAAUAUUAUUACUAUUUCUAUUUCUUAUAUUUAUCUUAUACUCUAUUGUCGAAUAAGGGAGUUGAGCUUGACAAGGAGAACAAUAUAAAGAGGGGAG